AGUGAACGCUGGCGGUAGGCCUAACACAUGCAAGUCGAACGGCAGCACAGUAAGAGCUUGCUCUUACGGGUGGCGAGUGGCGGACGGGUGAGGAAUACGUCGGAAUCUACUUUUUCGUGGGGGAUAACGUAGGGAAACUUACGCUAAUACCGCAUACGACCUACGGGUGAAAGCAGGGGAUCUUCGGACCUUGCGCGAUUGAAUGAGCCGAUGUCGGAUUAGCUAGUUGGCGGGGUAAGGGCCCACCAAGGCGACGAUCCGUAGCUGGUCUGAGAGGAUGAUCAGCCACACUGGAACUGAGACACGGUCCAGACUCCUACGGGAGGCAGCAGUGGGGAAUAUUGGACAAUGGGCGCAAGCCUGAUCCAGCCAUACCGCGUGGGUGAAGAAGGCCUUCGGGUUGUAAAGCCCUUUUGUUGGGAAAGAAAAGCAGCAGGUUAAUACCCCGCUGUUCUGACGGUACCCAAAGAAUAAGCACCGGCUAACUUCGUG
rnacentral:rRNA from 1 species